AUUGAACGCUGGCGGAAUGCUUUACACAUGCAAGUCGAGCGGCAGCACGGGGGCAACCCUGGUGGCGAGCGGCGAACGGGUGAGUAAUACAUCGGAACAUGCCCAGUCGUGGGGGAUAACACUUCGAAAGAAGUGCUAAUACCGCAUACGUCAUGAGGGAGAAAGCGGGGGAUCUUCGGACCUCGCGCGAUUGGAGGGGCCGAUGUCAGAUUAGCUAGUUGGUGGGGUAAAGGCCUACCAAGGCAACGAUCUGUAGCUGGUCUGAGAGGAUGAUCAGCCACACUGGGACUGAGACACGGCCCAGACUCCUACGGGAGGCAGCAGUGGGGAAUUUUGGACAAUGGGGGCAACCCUGAUCCAGCCAUUCCGCGUGAGUGAAGAAGGCCUUCGGGUUGUAAAGCUCUUUCGGCAGGAACGAAACGGCGAGCUCUAACAUAGCUUGCUAAUGACGGUACCUGAAGAAGAAGCACCGGCUAACUACGUGCCAGCCGCCGCAGUAACAC
rnacentral:rRNA from 1 species